rnacentral:lncRNA from 1 species
GACGCCACCGGUGACCUCCGACGCCCCGGGCAAGAGAACGCCAGGAGGGAUAACGGGAGGAAGGCCGGCCGGGGCCGCCAAGGCAGUCCCAGGCUCGCGUAGGAGGCGCGCAGACCUUGCACCUUGCACCUUCGCAGCGCCCUGCACCCCGCCACCAUGUGCGAGCUGUACAGUAAGCGGGACACUCUGGGGCUGAGGAAGAAGCACAUCGGUGGGACACUGUCACCCAGGAGUGGUCAAAGCUGCCCUGAAACAGAUGGAACUGCUAAAUACAAAUUCUCGAUUCCUCCACGACAACAUUGUUGAGUAUGCCAAACGCCUUUCAGCAACUCUGCCGGAGAAACUCUCUGUUUGUUAUUUUACAAAUUCAGGAUCCGAAGCCAACGACUUAGCCUUACGCCUGGCUCGGCAGUUCAGAGGCCACCAGGAUGUGAUCACUCUUGACCAUGCUUACCAUGGUCACCUAUCAUCCUUAAUUGAGAUUAGCCCAUAUAAGUUUCAGAAAGGAAAAGAUGUCAAAAAAGAAUUUGUACAUGUGGCACCAACUCCAGAUACUUACAGAGGAAAAUAUAGAGA